UACGUAGGGUGCGAGCGUUAAUCGGAAUCAUUGGGCGUAAAGGGUGUGUAGGCGGUGGACUAAGACGGAUGUGAAAUCCCUGGGCUUAACCCAGGACGUGCAUACGUGACUGGUUCACUAGAAUCUGGCAGAGGGAGGUAGAAUUUCACAAGUAGCGGUGGAAUGCGUAGAGAUGUGAAGGAAUACCGAUGGCGAAGGCAGCCUCCUGGGCCAAGAUUGACGCUGAGGCACGAAAGCGUGGGGAUCAAACAGG
rnacentral:rRNA from 1 species